rnacentral:rRNA from 1 species
UUGGACCUGAUAUCAGGCAAGAUUACCCGCUGAACUUAAGCAUAUCAAA